UGAUGACGAGAGCUUUAAGGCGUCGAAGUAGUGUAUGUCAUACUUCCAAGAAAAGCUUGCACUGUCAUAGAUAAAAAACGCCUGUACCAUAACCGACACAGGUGGGUAGGUAGAGUAUACUAAGGGGCGCGAGAUAACUCUCUCUAAGGAACUCGGCAAAAUAACUCCGUAACUUCGGGAGAAGGAGUGCCUUAUUCUUAAGGUUGCAAUAACAAGAUCCAAGCAACUGUUUAUCAAAAACACAGGUCUCCGCUAAGUCGUAAGACGAUGUAUGGGGGCUGACGCCUGCCCAGUGCCAGAAGGUUAAAGAAGCUGGUUAGCAUUUGCGAAGCUAGUAACUGAAGCCCUGGUGAACGGCGGCCGUAACAAUAACGGUCCUAAGGUAGCGAAAUUCCUUGUCGGGUAAGUUCCGACCCGCACGAAAGGCGUAAUGAUUUGGAUACUGUCUCGGAGAGGGGCUCGGUGAAAUAGACUUGUCUGUGAAGAUGCGGACUACCUGCACCAGGACAGAAAGACCCUAUGAAGCUUUACUGUAACUUGAAAUUGAAAUUGGACUUUAUUCGCGCAGUAUAGGUGGGAGGCGUUGAUUAUAAUCUUGCGGGAUUAUUGGAGCCAUUAGUGAGAUACCACUCUUGUAAUGUUAGAUUUCUAACUUUGAAUCAUUAUCUGGUCAAAGAACAGUUUCAGGCGGGCAGUUUGACUGGGGCGGUCGCCUCCCAAACGGUAACGGAGGCGUACAAAGGUUUCCUCUGAACGGUUAGAAAUCGUAUCUAGGGUGUAUGCAUAAGGAAGCUUGACUGUGAGACCUACAAGUCGAGCAGGGACGAAAGUCGGUCUUAGUGAUCUGACGGUACUGAGUGGAAAGGCCGUCACUCAACGGAUAAAAGUUACUCUAAGGAUAACAGGCUGAUCUCCCCCAAGAGUUCACAUCGACGGGGAGGUUUGGCACCUCGAUGUCGGCUCAUCGCAUCCUGGGGCGGUAGUACGUCCCAAGGGUUGGGCUGUUCGCCCAUGAAAGCGGUACGCGAGCUGGGUUCAGAACGUCGUGAGACAGUUCGGUCCAUAUCCGGUGUAGGCGUUAGAAUAUUGAGAGGAGCCUUCUUUAGUACGAGAGGACCGAGAAGGACAUACCUCUGGUGUACCAGUUAUCGUGCCAACGGUAGACGCUGGGUAGCUAUGUAUGGAGUGGAUAACCGCUGAAAGCAUCUAAGUGGGAAGCCCACCUCAAGAUAAGUAUUCUCAUC
rnacentral:rRNA from 1 species